UGAGCAAUGCCAAAAUCUCUUCGUCGCGAA
rnacentral:sRNA from 1 species